ACGAUGAAGCGCAAUUUGCUGAGUUACGUACCCUUGGUGAGCUAACCAAAAUAGCUUGGGAAUAUGAUGU
rnacentral:tRNA from 1 species